rnacentral:ncRNA from 1 species
ACAGCAUUUUUGCUGUAAUUACAAAAACAAAUAAUACCUCUAACUAGAACGUACCUUGAGCAUAUAUGCUGUAACCCGAAAGAUGGUGAACUAUACUUGAUCAGGUUGAAGUCAGGGGAAACCCUGGUGGAAGACCGAAACAGUUCUGACGUGCAAAUCGAUUGUCAGAAUUGAUUAUAGGGGCGAAAGACUAAUCGAACCAUCUAGUAGCUGG